AUGCUUCAAGUGGGAACUGUCUCAUCCAUCUGAGCAGGACAACUGAAUGAAUGCCGCUGACCAGCGUGACCGGUCGAUUAGUGGCCA
rnacentral:tRNA from 1 species